rnacentral:tmRNA from 1 species
GUCACUUGAGGUGACAGCAAGCUUUAGCUCAUCUAUAACUGAUUCCUAACGUCAACCAGCGGAAAUUCCGCUAAUACUAUCAUGGGGACGCUACGGAUUCGACAGGGAUAGGUCGAGCUUAAGUUGCGAGUCGAGGGGAUCGGCCUCGUAAAAAACGUCAAAGCCAAUAACUGGCAACCAAAAAUUAGCUUUAGCUGCCUAAUAUAGCGCAGCUGUUCGCCCCUCCAUCGCCCAUGUGGUAGGGUAGCGGACUCAAACUUAGUGGGCUACGCCGGAUUCCGCCGCCUGAGGAUGAAGGAAGAGAACAAUCAGGCUAGCUGCCCGGACGCCUGUCGGUAGGCAUAAGGGACAGCGAAGCGCAAAUAUACCGACUACACUCGUAGAAGCUUAAGUGCCGAUAUCUCUGGACGUGGGUUCG